GUUUCUUGUAGUUGGCCACCAGGUUUGCACACAUCUCAGGAGGGAUUUUGUCCCACUCCUCUUUGCAGAUCCUCUCUAAGUCAAGGUUUCGAGGCUGACGUUUGGCACUUCGAACCUUCAGCUCCCUCCACAGAUUUUCCAUGGGAUUAAGGUCUGGGGACUGGCUAGACCAUUCUAGGACCUUACUGUGCUUCUUCUUGAGCCACUCCUUUUUUGCAUUGGCUGUGUGUUUUGGGUCAUUGUCAUGCUUGAAUACCCAUCCACUGCCUAUUUUCAAUGCCCUGGCUGAGAGAUGGAGGUUCUCACCCAAGAUUUGAUGAUACAUGGCCCCGUCCAUUGUUCCUCCUGUCCCCUUAGAAGAAAAACACUCCCAAAGCAUAACGUUUCCACCUCCAUGUUUGAUGGUGGGGAUUGUGUUCUUGGGGUCAUAGGCAGAAUUCCACCUCCUCCAAAUACGACGAGCUGAGUUGAUGCCAAAAAGCUUGAUUUUGGUCUCAUCUGACCACAACACUUUCACUCAGUUCUCCUCUGAAUCAUUCAGAUGUUCAUUGGCAAACUUCUUUGUUGAGCAGGGGGACCUUGCGGGUGCUGCUGGAUUUCAG